UGGAAGACUGUGUAGGGGCAUGAAUGAAUGGAUGAGUAUCAGCCUAAAUUAAGGAUAUAGUACUCAGCUUGUUUCUCCUGCAGAGCUCUCUACAAGACAGGGGUUGCUGUCUUUCCUAAUCUCAUCCUUUCUGCUGACUGGGAGGAAAGGAAGAGGCACUUCACGUUUUCAUUGCUUUCCUUGUGUGCCAGCACAGCAGAAGGUGCCCAGCAACCACUCAUCUGUUUACUGGUUCACCAAAGGUUUGUUCUUAAGGGAAAUCUGAUUCUGAGAGAAAGCUAUGCAUGUAAUACACCUUCUAUCUUCAGAAGGCAUUGUUCUGAAAC
rnacentral:lncRNA from 1 species